AGCAUUGUGGGUAAUGCGGAAGCCAUCACUGACAAGCGAGAUAAGCAAGAGUGAUUCACUUCGAUAUUUUGUUCUUGAUGUGAAGAUUUUUCAACUCAAGUCCGUCUUGUUGCCAGGGAGAUUUCCAGAAGGAUUUACAUAUAGUACAUGUAUAUGGAUGAGUUCCUGUUACAGAGGAAGUGUUAUCGCCAGCAACAAUCAGAUAUGAUUUAAGGGUAUUGUGUCAGCAGAUUAACACAGCCAGUUUUGGACAGAUGUAAUUAUGACUGCAUUCAUGCACAAAAGGAAGUAAUAAAUUGAGGAUUAAUCUUCAUCACCAUAGGAAAAUAUGUAACAUAACAGGUGCUUGUUCCCUGGCACCAGACUGACGGACAUUGGAGGCCAGUUACAGGCAGGUUAACUAUGUAAUCAUUGGCCUAUCAGUGUUACAGUGGUAUGGACCAUCUCCUCUACACCAUCUUGACAUAUCUAUUGAUAAAUGUUAGCAAAGGAACUAGACAAAUUGAACUAUUUUCAAACAUUUAUUGUUAUACCAUUAAAGAGAAACAGUUUUUGGAAUUCAAAUCUGAAACAACUUAGUGGAGGAGUGAUUGUGGAAAUAAGUGUUAGCUAAAAUUAGAUAAUACAGUUUACCCUUUGACCUGUCUGAAGUGAACUUUGACUGCAAGGUCACAUUGUACCCUCCAGUGUGAAAGAAUGUUUGCAAAAUUUAAACACCUACAUAUAGUAAGUAACACUCACAAUGAACACACUUAUUUCAAACUCUGGCCUAUUAGAGAAAAUAAUUGUUCAUGGCAAUAGUUUCUUGAGCAUCUAUCAGCAAACGUGGUCCCAAAUUUUGCUAUAGUAUGGUGAAUAUUUAGGUCGCAUCAGGGUUGUCGUAAAAAAUAUUGGUCGACUGAGUGUUGUUAUUAACAGUGUAUUUAGUUAAUUUUGAUAACUUUUAUACAUUGUCACAAUGAUGAUGUGUGAGGAAAAUCAGUGUUACACAGGUCACAGUUAUAUGUAAUAGAACACUUGAACAAAGGUCACAAAUAUGAAAUGCAAGGGAGAUAACUGAUAUCAAAUUAGGAAUUUUGUAUUUGUAUUUUCCUUUGGUUUUCUUCUUUUCUUUUUGGUGCUGUAAGCAGGUAUAAAGGUGUGUAUGUUAAAUAUUGAAUUGAAAUGAAUAAAAAUUGAUAACACAUUGAUCAUGUGUCAAAUAUGAUUGAAAAGAUAAUUUCCUGGAAAACAAGACCUUAGGAAAAGAGAGGUAAAAUCAAU
rnacentral:misc_RNA from 1 species